CAAACAAAAGGCAUUAUCUGAAAUACACAGGUAUCCUUCCAAUUAUCAAAGAGGCUUCCAUAGAGGACCCAUGCUUUUAGUUACAAAGGGCAUGUCCCCACACGGGUGGCACUGGCAACCUCCUCUAGUACCCGACCAUUUAUUUUACAACGAAUGGGAUUUUGAUGGCAGCUUUAGAUUCAAGCAACGUACAGUUCCUUUCAUUUAGUCCAGAGCUAUUGUACAGGUAAGACAUUUUUAUUUUUUUCUAUCCACAUUUUUUAUUUAUUGGGUUAGGACGGAACGCCCAUGGUUCCAGAAUUUGGAGACUGGUUGGUUCUAAUAAGGAGAUUGAUAAAGCUCAGGAAACCAUUGCUCCUGACCAAACUGUAAUAUGACUUGUUUAAAAGUAUCAUUCAUCCUAGAUUUCAAACCCACAACGCUUGUGUGAGUGUGUGGGGGAGGGUGUCCACUUAGUAAUUAGUGCUCUAUUAUUUUGGUUCUGUUGUCAAUUCCCCACAAUUCCAUGUUUAGUGAAUACAUUUUACUUUGAGGGAUUAGCUGGCUAAUACUCCUCCCGUAAUAUCUCUCAGCCAGAAAUCAGAGGCGAUGAUUGCGGUUUAUAGCAAAAAUUGUAUCAUUUAUUAUUUUAAAACAGCCUGUGUCUAUUAUACUACUAUAUAUUUUAUUUAUCUUUUCUAUAGCGGUCCUUUUGCACUUACACCCUCUCUCCUUUAAUAUGUAUGUAUUGUGCGCUUUCUUUAUUAUUUUUUAAUGCCAAUAUAUAAGUUCUGGUUGGGUGCCCAAUUUGUGGCAACUUUCCCAAGUAGCGCCAAUUCAUUAUCGGUGCAAUGCAGGCAAGGGCAGGGAUGGGUAAGAGAUGAUGUAACACCCACAGACCCUGUAAAGUGGAGGUGAAAGCACUGGAGAGUAGGUAAAUAGUUAGUUAAAGGAACACUCCAAGUACCAUAAUCACUGCAGCACACAUAAGUGAUUAUGUUACGAUGAGUGCCCUGACACCCACCCUCAUGUAAAGCACUUCUUGAGUGGCUAGAGGAUUAUAGGAAUGGAGUGACUGAUGUAUGCAUCCCUUGCACACACACACAAACACAUAGUGAAUCUCUUACACACAUACAGAGAAAUACACAAUGCAUCCCUUACACACUACACACAUAAACACGCAUUGCAUUGCUUACACAAAUACAUGUAUUCCUUACACACAAACAUAUUGCAUCCAUCUGGAUUCCCAAUACAUUUCAUUCCAGAAAACACACACACAUUACAUCCUCUACACCAAUAAUGGCUAACCUUGACACCAUAAAUUGUUCCUGGACUACAUUUCCCAUGAUGCUCAGCUAGCUUUUAGACUAUGAAAGCUAGCUGAGCAUCAUGGGAAAUGCAGUCCAGAAACUAUUUAUGGUGUCAAGGUUAGCAUUCCCUGCCCUACAAACAUACACUCCACUCCCUGUGAGCGGACUCAGAUGUGGGCACUGUGGGUGAAAUCAGGGGCAGGCCACAAAAUUUCUGAUGGCAGCCCUGCCUGCGGAUAUAACAGAAGUGGACCAAAGGUAAGGAUUUACUAAAACUCAAAAAUUUUAACUGAAUAUAUCAUUUAUCGGGAUGAUAAAUUCUAUAUUAAAUAUUAAGUAUCAAUGCAAAAAUGAAAUUGCUCUCCUUACCACUGACUUAAAUCUAGAUUAAUAAAUCUAAAAUUUGUUUUUCUCCAGAACAAGGAACGUCCAUAAUGUCAACUCAUGGGGUCGUUGUUCGAGUCCCGUCAUAUCUACUGGGAAUUUCUCCCCAUAUAAUACCUAGAGUGAGGGUCCAGCCCUCCACAUACCCAAAAC